rnacentral:rRNA from 1 species
AUUGAACGCUGGCGGCCGGCUUAACACAUGCAAGUCGAGCGAGCGGCGGACGGGUGAGUAAUGUCUGGGCAACUGCCUGAUGGAGGGGGCUAACUACUGGCAACGGUAUCUAAUCCCGCAUACCAUCAGAUGUGCCCCGAUGGGAUUAGCUAGUCGGUGGGGUAAUGGCGCACCUCGGCGACGAUCCCUAGCUGGUCUGCGAGGAGGACCAGCCACACUGGAACGGAGAAACGGUCCAGACGCCUACGGGGGGCAGCAGUGGGGAAUAUUGCACAAGGGGCGCAAGCCUGAUGCAGCCAUGCCGCGUGUGUGAAGAAGGCCUUCGGGUUGUAAAGCACUUUCAGCGAGGAGGCGUUACUCGCAGAAGAAGCACCGGCUAACUCCGUGCCAGCAGCCGCGGUAAUUC